rnacentral:misc_RNA from 1 species
CAAUUGCUCGAAUCACCCAGAUGGCACGGGCCGCAGGAAUACACAUGAUUGUCGCGACGCAGACGCCGCGCGCCGAUGUUGUCACGGGUGUGAUCAAGGCGAAUAUCCCAACGCGAAUUGCAUUUCAGGUCGCUUCAGCGCUCGAUAGCCGCGUGAUUCUUGAUGAAAAUGGUGCUGAACGGCUGGUUGGUCAGGGCGAUAUGUUUUACCGGCCACCGGGCACUUCACGGCUCAUACGGUCGCAAGGCGG